rnacentral:sRNA from 1 species
AACCUCGUUAGGUGAGGCUCCUAUAUGGAGACACGCUGCUGCCCAGAAACGUCGAAAGACACCAAUGGGUCAACAGAAACCAUCGACAUAAGGUGGUUUUUAAUGUAGCUGGAUGAAAUAUUCAUCCUAUGCCAUAUAGUGCUAAAGCUCAACGAAUAGA